rnacentral:rRNA from 1 species
UACGGAGGGUGCGAGCGUUGUCCGGAAUCACUGGGCGUAAAGGGCGCGUAGGCGGCUUGAUAAGUAGGGGGUGAAAUCCUGCGGCUUAACCGCAGGGCUGCCUUCUAAACUGUCAGGCUCGAGCACAGUAGAGGCAGAUGGAAUUCCGGGUGUAGCGGUGGAAUGCGUAGAGAUCCGGAAGAACACCGGUGGCGAAGGCGGUCUGCUGGGCAGUUGCUGACACUGAGGCGCGACAGCGUGGGGAGCAAACAGG